GAUGAAGAACGUAGCGAAAUGCGAUACGUAAUGUGAAUUGCAAAUUCAGUGAAUCAUCGAGUCUUUGAACGCACAUUGCGCCCCCUGGUAUUCCGGGGGCAUGCCUGUCCGAGCGUCAUUGCUGCCCUCAAGCACGGCUUGUGUGUUGGGCCCCGUCCUCCGAUCCCGGGGGACGGGCCCGAAAGGCAGCGGCGGCACCGCGUCCGGUCCUCGAGCGUAUGGGGCUUUGUCACCCGCUCUGUAGGCCCGGCCGGCGCUUGCCGAUCAACCCAAAUUUUUAUCCAGGUUGACCUCGGAUCAGGUAGGGAUACCCGCUGAACUUAAGCAUAUCAAUGAGCGGAGGA
rnacentral:misc_RNA from 1 species